CGGCCCCUCGGGCUGCGGCAAGUCGACGGUGCUGCGGGCCCUGGCGGGACUGCUGCGGCCCGACAAGGGCCGGAUCGUCGCCGACGGCGACGA
rnacentral:tRNA from 1 species